CCUCUCCGCGCGGGCUGCGGCCCCGCCCCCGGGGCCCUCCCUCCAGCCGUGCUCGCCUGCGGCCCGCCCGUGGGUGUGAACGCACAGUUGGCAGGUCCGGCUGUGAGGGUCAGCUGGCUCCUGUGACCAGGCGAGAAAAAUGAGGCCCCGAGGAGGUCACAGCACGGCCUGGCUCUGACUCAGGCUCUUGGCCCCUGCGAUCCGCGCGUCACCAAGAGCCUCGCUGGGCGGAGGAGACACAUGCACUGAUCCCAGAACAAGAGAGGCAAUGAGCAGUACUUUUUAGAAUUCAGGAUUGCCAGGCCGGUGGACUAUUUCUCUCUGUUCCAGAUACCUGAUUGCGACAAUUUCCAUCAAUUCCAAUAAAAAAGGACAUCACAGAACAUGUCCACAAUACAGUGACCUGAAUCUGCUGGGAGAGCCUGUACUUCAUCAGGAGCUUCUGGAUAGAGUUAGCCAGCCCUUCCCUUUGGAGUCCUCUUGGAAGCUGGUGGACCCACAGAGAGUGUGCAUCCUGCCCUGUUCCUUCGUGUUCUAGGAUUAAAAGGCCAAGGCCCUGCUUGGCGAGACUAGCUAGGGAGAGGAUGCCAGGAGUCAGCCUGAGACCCCUCCCUACGUCAUGGGCUUUUCUGGGAGGAACAGAAGCUUGUGGCCGUAUGUGAACCAUUACUGUGGGACCUCGUUUCCAGGCCGCCCUAGAGAACUUCACGAGAGCCCUUCUCCCCGACUGCUGGCCCUACUGCCCAGCGGCGAUUCUAGACCCUCCAGGAGAUGCUUUGCUGUGAGCUCACAAGGGUGGAAACCACAAGGAGCUGACGGCCUUCCAGAAGCUGCUACAGCGGCCUCCUCUGUGGCUCCUCUCCAGCCGUUGGUUUCACCCAACGGCAACAAGCUCUGACUGGCCCACCCGCACCAGGGCUGUCUAGGGCCCUUCUCUGCUACUUUUGGAGACGUUCCUUCCUCAGCUCCUCCCCAAACUGGGGACAUUUUAUCAUCCUUUAUGCACCGUCACACCAGACACCUUGAAUAGAAUCAACAUAUAUCAAUACAAUCCAUGUGGCGUUGACUACAGUAUCCUUGAAUGCCUUGGUGGAGCAGGCACAAGAGAACUCUUCCGGGAGAACCUUCAUCAGUCAAUCUAAAGACCCUUGUCCAUGAGACAAACAGUAACUGGGGACCAGAGACACCGUGGAAAGACAAACUGUCCCCCCUCGUAUCUUGCAAAGACUCAAAAAUCUCCCAUCUCCGGGGCUAGACGGGUCACCUCCAGGCUGCUUCCCCCUGCUUUGGCUUGAGUGUUUCUACCUCAUCGUACAGCACCAAGCUGAAGGGAGGCCAGCAGGACUGAAUUCAGUGCACAUAUUGGAGGAAUUUACUAGAGACUUCUUACCGAUUAGAGGGGCAAGACCAAAAAGCUGGUGACCACUGCUUGGGGCUGAGACUGAUGUGUCCGCAUGUCCAUCUGACUUAUGAAGAAGAGAUGUGAGUGGUGGUCCAGCUUGGACUCUGCAUUUCAAGGAGGGAAGCAAGCAGGUCAAAGCCAAUAGCAGGAGAUGUGACCAUGGAAGGAAGAGGCUGGAGUGACGGAGGGACAACCACAAGCCAAGGAGUGAGGACGGCAGCCUCUAGACACUACAAAAGGCAGGGAAGUGGAUUUUCCCCUGAAGCCUCUAGAAGGACCCAGCUGUCAACACCCUGACUUUAGCCCAGUGAGAUGGAUUUUGGACUCUGACCUCCAAAACUAGAGAAGGAGGGGCAGAGAGAGAAGAAGAGAGAAUCUUGAGCAGGCUCCACGCCUAGGAGCUGGUGAUUGAGGCAGUGGCUACCAAGGCUUCAUCUGAAUCCCAAGGACAGGAGGAUCCCUCCUCUCCUGGGCUCCACGGAGCUAGAAGACAGAGCCCACCCCUGAGGACCAGAGUCGGUGAACUCAGACUGUUCUAGACUAGCUAUAGUCCGCAGGUCUCCAGCUACUUUCUGGCUGGCUUUGGCCCAUGGGAGGAACUGGGAGGAAAUUGGUUGGUGGGAGGGGCCAGGGUAUUUCUCCUCCUCUUCUCCUUGGGCGGAGACAGGCACUGGAUUUCUUCUUGUCACCUGCUUCUGCAGUAUCCGUUUUCAACUUCCUCGUCUGCCAGGUGACCUCCUGGCUCUAGUAACUCCACCUCCUUCUUUUGUCCCUCCAGCCUGGGGAUGGGAGUAAAUGUUGUGCAUUUGCCAAUCUUGCCAGUUACUUCAUUACUUUCUGGCUUUUUCAAGCCUCUUACAUCAUUGGUAGAGCCAUUUCCCUACAUUAAAAUUCCAAUUGAAAAUAAAAUAAAAUAAAAUACAAUUCCAAUUGAUUUCUGGAUUCCUGGUUGGACCUUGGCUGAAACCCCGAGUAGCCCAGAAUUUGGCAGGCACCCUGCCCAUAAAGGCAACUCUGGGCAAAGCAGUGUCCUCAUGGUUCUAAGUAGUACAUGGGAGAAGAUGCUACUUCUUUGAGAACAACAUGCAUCAGCAGGUUCAUGACCAGAGUGGAUAGAGAUGCAGGAU